UACGUAGGGGGCAAGCGUUGUCCGGAUUUAUUGGGCGUAAAGAGCGUGUAGGCGGCCACACAGGUCUGCUGUGAAAACUCGAGGCUCAACCUCGAGCUGUCGGUGGAAACCGUGUGGCUAGAGUCCGGAAGAGGAGAGUGGAAUUCCCGGUGUAGCGGUGAAAUGCGCAGAUAUCGGGAAGAACACCCGUGGCGAAGGCGGCUCUCUGGGACGGUACUGACGCUGAGACGCGAAAGCGUGGGGAGCAAACGGG
rnacentral:rRNA from 1 species